GGUCAAGUGAAGAAGCGCAUACGGUGGAUGCCUUGGCAGUCAGAGGCGAUGAAAGACGUGGUAGCCUGCGAAAAGCUUCGGGGAGUCGGCAAACAGACUUUGAUCCGGAGAUCUCUGAAUGGGGGGAACCCACCUAGGAUAACCUAGGUAUCUUGUACUGAAUCCAUAGGUGCAAGAGGCGAACCAGGGGAACUGAAACAUCUAAGUACCCUGAGGAAAAGAAAUCAACCGAGAUUCCCUUAGUAGUGGCGAGCGAACGGGGAUUAGCCCUUAAGCUUCAUUGAUUUUAGCGGAACGCUCUGGAAAGUGCGGCCAUAGUGGGUGAUAGCCCCGUACGCGAAAGGAUCUUUGAAGUGAAAUCGAGUAGGACGGAGCACGAGAAACUUUGUCUGAACAUGGGGGACCAUCCUCCAAGGCUAAAUACUACUGACUGACCGAUAGUGAACCAGUACCGUGAGGGAAAGGCGAAAAGAACCCCGGAGAGGGGAGUGAAAUAGAACCUGAAACCGUAUGCGUACAAGCAGUGGGAGCCUACUUGUUAGGUGACUGCGUACCUUUUGUAUAAUGGGUCAGCGACUUAUAUUCAGUGGCAAGCUUAACCGUAUAGGGUAGGCGUAGCGAAAGCGAGUCUUAAUAGGGCGUUUAGUCGCUGGGUAUAGACCCGAAACCGGGCGAUCUAUCCAUGAGCAGGUUGAAGGUUAGGUAACACUGACUGGAGGACCGAACCCACUCCCGUUGAAAAGGUAGGGGAUGACUUGUGGAUCGGAGUGAAAGGCUAAUCAAGCUCGGAGAUAGCUGGUUCUCCUCGAAAGCUAUUUAGGUAGCGCCUCAUGUAUCACUCUGGGGGGUAGAGCACUGUUUCGGCUAGGGGGUCAUCCCGACUUACCAAACCGAUGCAAACUCCGAAUACCCAGAAGUGCCGAGCAUGGGAGACACACGGCGGGUGCUAACGUCCGUCGUGAAAAGGGAAACAACCCAGACCGCCAGCUAAGGUCCCAAAGUUGUGGUUAAGUGGUAAACGAUGUGGGAAGGCUUAGACAGCUAGGAGGUUGGCUUAGAAGCAGCCACCCUUUAAAGAAAGCGUAAUAGCUCACUAGUCGAGUCGGCCUGCGCGGAAGAUGUAACGGGGCUCAAACCACACACCGAAGCUGCGGGUGUCACGUAAGUGACGCGGUAGAGGAGCGUUCUGUAAGCCUGUGAAGGUGAGUUGAGAAGCUUGCUGGAGGUAUCAGAAGUGCGAAUGCUGACAUGAGUAACGACAAUGGGUGUGAAAAACACCCACGCCGAAAGACCAAGGGUUCCUGCGCAACGUUAAUCGACGCAGGGUUAGUCGGUUCCUAAGGCGAGGCUGAAAAGCGUAGUCGAUGGGAAACAGGUUAAUAUUCCUGUACUUCUGGUUACUGCGAUGGAGGGACGGAGAAGGCUAGGCCAGCUUGGCGUUGGUUGUCCAAGUUUAAGGUGGUAGGCUGAAAUCUUAGGUAAAUCCGGGGUUUCAAGGCCGAGAGCUGAUGACGAGUCGUCUUUUAGAUGACGAAGUGGUUGAUGCCAUGCUUCCAAGAAAAGCUUCUAAGCUUCAGGUAACCAGGAACCGUACCCCAAACCGACACAGGUGGUCGGGUAGAGAAUACCAAGGCGCUUGAGAGAACUCGGGUGAAGGAACUAGGCAAAAUGGCACCGUAACUUCGGGAGAAGGUGCGCCGGCUAGGGUGAAGGAUUUACUCCGUAAGCUCUGGCUGGUCGAAGAUACCAGGCCGCUGCGACUGUUUAUUAAAAACACAGCACUCUGCAAACACGAAAGUGGACGUAUAGGGUGUGACGCCUGCCCGGUGCCGGAAGGUUAAUUGAUGGGGUUAGCGCAAGCGAAGCUCUUGAUCGAAGCCCCGGUAAACGGCGGCCGUAACUAUAACGGUCCUAAGGUAGCGAAAUUCCUUGUCGGGUAAGUUCCGACCUGCACGAAUGGCGUAACGAUGGCGGCGCUGUCUCCACCCGAGACUCAGUGAAAUUGAAAUCGCUGUGAAGAUGCAGUGUAUCCGCGGCUAGACGGAAAGACCCCGUGAACCUUUACUGUAGCUUUGCACUGGACUUUGAGCCUGCUUGUGUAGGAUAGGUGGGAGGCUUUGAAGCGUGGACGCCAGUUCGCGUGGAGCCAUCCUUUGAAAUACCACCCUGGCAUGCUUGAGGUUCUAACUCUGGUCCGUAAUCCGGAUCGAGGACAGUGUAUGGUGGGCAGUUUGACUGGGGCGGUCUCCUCCUAAAGAGUAACGGAGGAGUACGAAGGUGCGCUCAGACCGGUCGGAAAUCGGUCGUAGAGUAUAAAGGCAAAAGCGCGCUUGACUGCGAGACAGACACGUCGAGCAGGUACGAAAGUAGGUCUUAGUGAUCCGGUGGUUCUGUAUGGAAGGGCCAUCGCUCAACGGAUAAAAGGUACUCCGGGGAUAACAGGCUGAUACCGCCCAAGAGUUCAUAUCGACGGCGGUGUUUGGCACCUCGAUGUCGGCUCAUCACAUCCUGGGGCUGAAGCCGGUCCCAAGGGUAUGGCUGUUCGCCAUUUAAAAGUGGUACGCGAGCUGGGUUUAGAACGUCGUGAGACAGUUCGGUCCCUAUCUGCCGUGGACGUUUGAGAUUUGAGAGGGGCUGCUCCUAGUACGAGAGGACCGGAGUGGACGAACCUCUGGUGUUCCGGUUGUCACGCCAGUGGCAUUGCCGGGUAGCUAUGUUCGGAAAAGAUAACCGCUGAAAGCAUCUAAGCGGGAAACUUGCCUCAAGAUGAGAUCUCACUGGGAACUUGAUUCCCCUGAAGGGCCGUCGAAGACUACGACGUUGAUAGGCUGGGUGUGUAAGCGUUGUGAGGCGUUGAGCUAACCAGUACUAAUUGCCCGUGAGGCUUGACCAU
rnacentral:rRNA from 1 species